GGGGACGACUGGUUUUGACAGCGAGUGGAAUUAAAUAGUAAGCACGUCGAGCAUUGUACUUUUUGCUCGCUAAUCCAAAGGUACACACUUAUAAACGGCGAAAAUAAUUACGCUUUAGCUGCUUAAUCCGAAGUUUAGUACGAUUUGCCUAGUCUCGUCAAGGACGAGAAGCUAGAUUCACCUCAAAAGCCUUGGUUUAUGGCGGUUGGUUAAGGUGAACCGUAAAAGUAAACCUAGGAAAGGUAAUGCUUUAAAUCCUUUCUGACACUGAUUAAGCUAAGCAAAGAGUGGCUGUUCUUGGCCUUGCUCUUUGACGAAAAUCCAAUCAAGAACUAAACGUGUAGAAAGCUAUUCGAUUGCUUGUUUGGACCCGAGUUCGAUUCUCGGCGUCUCCACAA
rfam:Flavobacterium fontis strain DSM 25660 genome assembly, contig: Ga0131152_106